CCGGCAACCGGCGCACGGGUGAGUAACACGUAUGCAACCUGCCCGUCUCAGGGGGAUAAUCGUCGGAAACGGCGUCUAAUACCCCGUAUGAAGCUGGACGGCAUCGUCUGGUUUUGAAAGAAUAUCGGAGACGGAUGGGCAUGCGGCGCAUUAGCUAGUUGGCGGGGUAACGGCCCACCAAGGCGACGAUGCGUAGGGGUUCUGAGAGGAAGGUCCCCCACACUGGUACUGAGACNCGGACCAGACUCCUACGGGAGGCAGCAG
rnacentral:rRNA from 1 species